UACGAGUGCCCCGAGCGUUAUCCGGAAUCAUUGGGCGUAAGGGGGUGUAGGUCGUAGUGUUAGUCUUCUGUCAAAACCCGGGGCUUAACCCCGGAUCCGCGGAAGAAACGGCACAACUAGAGGAUGCGAGGGAUGUGUGGAACUCAUGGAGUAGGGGUGAAAUCCGUUGAUAUCAUGGGGAACACCGAAAGCGAAGGCAGCACAUUGGCGCACUCCUGACACUGAAACACGAAAGCGUGGGUAGCGAAUGGG
rnacentral:rRNA from 1 species